AUGCUGCUUCUAGCACAUGCCAGGCAGAGUACUGAUCACAGAGGAAAGACAGGAAAAACUGUCCCCGCCCCCAGGUCAUUCACGUUAGCAAGGAAGGAAAGCCAGCAGAGCACUGCUGGGGUGGUGUGGAGAGGCUGUUUUAGGGGAGGUUUCCGAAAAGGUAUGAUACCCGAACUGCAUCUUCAAAGAAGAUAUAGGGUAGCUCGGGCAAUGGAAAAUGAGGAAUGCUGGGACUUGGAUAUUUUUCAACUGGAGGCUGCCACCCGCAAUAGGAAACGUUGA
rnacentral:lncRNA from 1 species